rnacentral:rRNA from 1 species
UACGAAGGGGGCUAGCGUUGCUCGGAAUCACUGGGCGUAAAGGGUGCGUAGGCGGGUCUUUAAGUCAGGGGUGAAAUCCUGGAGCUCAACUCCAGAACUGCCUUCGAUACUGGGAAGCUCGAGUCCGGGAGAGGUGAGUGGAACUGCGAGUGUAGAGGUGAAAUUCGUAGAUAUUCGCAAGAACACCAGUGGCGAAGGCGACUCACUGGCCCGGUACUGACGCUGAGGUGCGAAAGCGUGGGGAGCAAACAGG